rnacentral:rRNA from 1 species
UAACGAAUCUUCCGCAAUGCACGCAAGUGUGACGGAGCGACGCCGCGUGUGGGACGAAGCCCUUCGGGGUGUAAACCACUGUCAGGGGAUAGAAAGAUCUGAUCGUCCCCAGAGGAAGGCACGGCUAACUCUGUGCCAGCAGCCGCGGUAAGACAGAGGUGCCAAGCGUUAGGCGGAAUCACUGGGCUUAAAGCGUGUGUAGGCGGACCGUUAAGUGCCUUGUGAAAUCCCACGGCUCAACCGUGGAACUGCUGGGCAUACUGGCGGUCUUGAGUCACCCAGGGGCUGCCGGAACAAAUGGUGGAGCGGUGAAAUGCGUAGAUAUCAUUUGGAACGCCAAUGGCGAAAGCAGGCAGCUGGGGGUGAUCUGACGCUGAGACACGAAAGCCAGGGGAGCGAACGGGAUUAGAUACCCCCGUAGUCC